AGUCGACUAGCAUGCGAGUCGAUGUAGCAUACAUGGCGUACUGCUCAGUAACACGUGGACAACCUACCCUGAGGUCGGGGAUAAACCCGGGAAACUGGGUAUAAUACCCGAUAGAUCUAGAUUGCUGGAAUGCUUUUAGGUCUAAAGUUCCGACGCCUCAGGAUGGGUCUGCGGCCUAUCAGGGUAGUAGUGGGUGUAAAGUACCUACUAGCCUACGACGGGUACGGGUUGUGAGAGCAAGAGCCCGGAGAUGGAUUCUGAGACACGAAUCCAGGCCCUACGGGGUGCAGCAGGCGCGAAACCUUUACAAUGCUGGCAACAGCGAUAAGGGGACCUCGAGUGCUACGAUACAAUCGUGGCUGUCUAGUUGCCUAAAAAGCAAUUGAUAGC
rnacentral:rRNA from 1 species